rnacentral:rRNA from 1 species
GGAUUCAGUGAGUCGUCGAAAUUUUGAACGCAUAUUGCACCUCCGGGUUAUUCCUGGAGGUAUGCCUGUAUCAGUGUCCGUACAUCAAACUUGGUUUUCUUCUUUCCGUGUAGUCGGGGGAGGAUAUGCCAGAUGUGAAGUGUCUUACGGCUGAUUUUCGGAUCGGCUGUGAGUCCUUUGAAAUGUACAGAACUGACUCUCUUUGUUCGAAAAGCGUGGCAUUGCUGGUUGUAAAGGCUGUUCAUGUGACCAGUCGGCGAUCGGUUUGUCUGCUGUGGCGUUAAUGGAGGAGUGUUCGAUUCGCGGUAUGGUUGGCUUCGGCUGAACAGACGCUUAUUGGUCAUUCUUCUUGCUGUGGCGGUAUAACUGAUGAACCGUAGUCGUGUGUGACUUACCUUUUGAAUCGGCGUUGCUGUGCGAAGUAGAGUGACAGUUUCGGCUGUCGAGGGUCGACCCAUUUGGGAAAUUGUGCGGUGCGGCUUCGGUCGCGCGGCAUCUCAAUUGGACCUGAUAUCAGGCAAGAUUACCCGCUGAACUUAAGCAUAUCAAUAAGCGGAGGA